rnacentral:rRNA from 1 species
CCUACGGGAGGCAGCAGUGGGGAAUAUUGCGCAAUGGGCGAAAGCCUGACGCAGCGACGCCGCGUGAGGGAUGAAGGUCUUCGGAUCGUAAACCUCUGUCAGCAGGGAAGAACGGUCACUGUGCUAAUCAGCAGUGAAUUGACGGUACCUGCAAAGGAAGCACCGGCUAACUCCGUGCCAGCAGCCGCGGUAAUACGGAGGGUGCGAGCGUUGAUCGGAAUUACUGGGCGUAAAGCGCUCGUAGGCGGUAUGUCAAGUCAAGGGUGAAAUCCCCGGGCUCAACGUGGGAACUGCCGUUGAAACUGGCAAACUGGAGUGUGUGAGAGGAUAGCGGAAUUCGAGGUGUAGGAGUGAAAUGCGUAGAUAUCUGGAGGAACAUCAGUGGCGAAGGCGACUAUCUGGCACAUAACUGACGCUGAGGAGCGAAAGCGUGGGUAGCAAACAGGAUUAGAUACCCGGGUAGUC